CCCUCUGUCCCAAAUUUCUUGUCUUAGAUUUGUCUAGAUACGGAUGUAUCUAAUACUAAAAUGUGACUUGAUACAUCCGUAUCUAGACAAAUCUAAGACAAGAAUUUUGGGACGGAGNG
rnacentral:pre_miRNA from 1 species